AACUAACAAGGAUUCCCCUAGUAACUGCGAGUGAAGCGGGAAAAGCUCAAAUUUGAAAUCUGGCAGUUUCUAACUGUCCGAAUUGUAAUCUAGAGAAGUGUUACCUGUGCUGGACCAUGUACAAGUCUUCUGGAAUGGAGCAUCAUAGAGGGUGAGAAUCCCGUCUUUGACAUGGACUACCAGUGCAUUAUGGUAUGCUCUCAAAGAGUCGAGUUGUUUGGGAAUGCAGCUCAAAAUGGGUGGUAAAUGCCAUCUAAAGCUAAAUAUUGGCGAGAGACCGAUAGCGAACAAGUACCGUGAGGGAAAGAUGAAAAGAACUUUGGAAAGAGAGUUAAACAGUACGUGAAAUUGCUGAAAGGGAAACGCUUGAAGUCAGUCAUGUUGGCUAGAAAUCAGCCUUGCUUUUGCUUGGUGUAUUUUCUAGUCUACAGGUCAGCAUCAAUUUUGACCAUUGGAUAAAGUCUUUGGGAAUGUAGCAUCUUUGGAUGUGUUAUAGCCCAUUGUCGCAUACAGUGGUUGGGAUUGAGGAACUCAGCAUGCCGCAAGGCUGGGUCUUUUAGACCACACUCAUGCUUAGGAUGCUGGCAUAAUGGCUUUAAUCGACCCGUCUUGAAACACGGACCAAGGAGUCUAACAUGCCUGCAAGUGUUUGGGUGGAAAACCCAUGCGCGUAAUGAAAGUGAAAGUUGAGAUCUCUUUGAGAGCAUUGACGCCCAGACCAGACCUUUUGUGACGGAUCUGCGGUAGAGCAUGUAUGUUGGGACCCGAAAGAUGGUGAACUAUGCCUGAAUAGGGUGAAGCCAGAGGAAACUCUGGUGGAGGCUCGUAGCGAUUCUGACGUGCAAAUCGAUCGUCAAAUUUGGGUAUAGGGGCGAAAGACUAAUCGAACCAUCUAGUAGCU
rnacentral:rRNA from 1 species